UAUUAAUGUACAUGUACCAACAUUAUCUGCCUGAUUAAUCAAAUAUGUAUGUUUAUGUUUUGUAUGUCAUAUCGGUAAAGCCGUAAUAUAUUUGCUUGAAAAUUAAUAAAUAAAAUUGAUUGAUAUCUACUAACCAAUCUAUAUCGAUUAAGUGUUUGAUGGUGGUUAAUGUCAGGUGUCAGAUAUUAUCUUGUGAAAAUACUUGUUGUUACAUUGUGGUCUCAUUUUAGUAAAAUACGUUGGUUAUUCCACGAGUUACACCAAACCAGCUAGUUUAAUUUCUAUAUAUGAUGUUCAUUUCUUAGUGAGUUUAACUAUUAUAUAUAAAAAUAUAGUAUGAAGUGAUUACUUACCACGCAUUAAUAAUACAAGUAGUGUGAAUUUCAUGUGAAAGGUUAUUCCGGUAUCAUUAAUAUUACACCUGCUAUUUUAUUUCAGGUUUGACGUAUGAUAUAUAGUAACACGAUGCUAUGUAAUAUGGUCAGACAUUUCAUACACUUCCUUAUGAUAAACUAUAUAAUCUAUAUGACAAGUUUGCUUAUAAUAUAACACAAUUUUGAUAACUAUGCUACUAUAGUAUCGUUUCUCGCCGUUUCGUGUUGUCUGUGUUGAUUUCUCUUUAACGUAAAGUAUUGUGUCGUCAAUUCAAUAAGCAUGUGUUUGUCAUGUUGCUGAAAGUGUGUGCCAGAGUGAAUAUAUGGGUGGAUAUAUUCGGUUUAGAUGGGCAGGGUGUUGUAUUGUUUUCUAAGAUUAGGUGGACGGUUUGGAGACAUACCAGUUAGCGACUUCAGCACCAACAUAACCAACUUUUCACAAACGAUGUCGAUGCUAUUUCAACGGCAGUGUUCUGAUAGACCGUAUAUAGUAACGUGAAAUGCAGAUCUAAAUGAUACUGGUCAAACCGACACUGGAUGGAUCAGCUAUUCCUUGUUGAAAAGGUGUUUCUCCAACAUGUAUCUGUUGACGGGCUACUCAAGGAAACCCAAGUGUGUGGAUAUAAAGAUGAAAAAGUGUGAUGAUAACAGUCACGUGAUCUAGGCAGUAAACCCUUCCGAAUCACCAAUGAUGUACAACUGCAAGCGUUCUUGGCAUGGAAAGCGGACUUUUUCAAUUACUAUAUUUCAUUAGUUGUUGGUAUAAACAGCACAAGCGCUUAAUUAAGGAUGUCUGUUUUCUCAACAUUAAAAAAGGAACAGAAAUAUGACAAUUGUAUGUAAAAUUUAGAACAACAUAAAAUAUUUUAUUGUUUAUCUCAGUGUUACUUGUAAUAUUAUUUAGAAUUUUAGUUUUCCUUAACAGCUGAGCUAUCUCGUUUGGUGCAAGAAAAUAUGUACCCCUGAAGGUGUCUGCCAUUACUUAAUGACGUCAUUUAAUUCAUAAUAACUUCAACGAUUUACGAGAAUUUUUUUUUGAAUACAGUACAUCCGCUUAGCAUAUUAAUAAAAAAAUAUGAAU